rnacentral:rRNA from 1 species
GACGAACGCUGGCGGCGUGCUUAACACAUGCAAGUCGAACGUGAUUUUUGUGGAAAUUCUUUCGGGAAUGGGAAUGAAAUGAAAGUGGCGAACGGGUGAGUAACACGUGAGCAACCUACCUUACACAGGGGGAUAGCCGUUGGAAACGACGAUUAAUACCGCAUGAGACCACAGAAUCGCAUGAUAUAGGGGUCAAAGAUUUAUCGGUGUAAGAAGGGCUCGCGUCUGAUUAGCUAGUUGGAAGGGUAAAGGCCUACCAAGGCGACGAUCAGUAGCCGGUCUGAGAGGAUGAACGGCCACAUUGGAACUGAGACACGGUCCAAACUCCUACGGGAGGCAGCAGUGGGGAAUAUUGCACAAUGGGGGGAACCCUGAUGCAGCGACGCCGCGUGAGCGAAGAAGGUUUGCGAAUCGUAAAGCUCUGUCCUAUGAGAAGAUAAUGACGGGAUCAUAGGAGGAAGCCCCGGCUAAAUACG